AGCUCGUACUCCCCGAAAUGCAUUUAGGUGCAGCGUCGUGGUUAUUGUUAUAGAGGUAGAGCUACUGAUAGGGCUAGGGGGCUUCACCGCCUACCAAACCCUGACAAACUCCGAAUGCUAUAACAUUUACACGGCAGUGAGGGCAUGGGUGCUAAGGUCCAUGUCCGAGAGGGAAAGAACCCAGAUCAUCAGCUAAGGCCCCCAAAUGUAUGUUAAGUUGAUCAAACGUUGUGCGAUUGCAUAGACAGCUAGGAUGUUGGCUUGGAAGCAGCCAUUCAUUUAAAGAGUGCGUAACAGCUCACUAGUCGAGCGAUCGUGCGUGGAUAAUAAUCGGGCAUUAAACAUACUGCCGAAGCUAUGACAUCGAAAGAUGGGUAGGGGAGCAUUCUAUGGUCGUUGAAUGUCAGGGGUGACCCUGGCUGGAGAGUAUAGAAAAGCAAAUGUAGGAAUAAGUAACGAUAAAGCAGGCGAGAAACCUGCUCACCGAUAGACUAAGGUUUCCUUGGCGACGCUAAUCGUCCAAGGGUUAGUCGGGACCUAACGCGAACCCGAGAGGGGUAGUGGAUGGACAAUGGGUUAAUAUUCCCAUACUUGUUAUAACUGCGAUGGGGUGACGGAGUGAUGAACGAACCGCGUACAGACGGAAUUGUACGUUAAAGGGUGUAGAUAUUGGGACUGUAGGCAAAUCCGCAGACUUAGUCGAACCUGAUAGUACCACAAAGCUUCGGCUGCGUGGAUAGUGUUCUUAAGCGCUUCCAAGAAAAACCUCUAAGCUUCAGGUUAUAACAACUCGUACCGCAAACCAACACAGGUAGUCAAGGAGAGAAUCCUAAGGUGCUCGAGAGAUUCAUGGCUAAGGAACUAGGCAAAAUGGUCUCGUAACUUCGGGAGAAGAGACGCCUCUAGCAAUAGAGGCCGCAGUGAAUAGGCCCAGGCGACUGUUUAUCAAAAACACAUGGCUUUGCAAAAUCGAAAGAUGACGUAUAGGGCCUGACACCUGCCCGGUGCUGGAAGGUUAAGUGGAGAUGUUAGCUUCGGCGAAGCAUUUAAAUGAAGCCCCAGUAAACGGCGGCCGUAACAAUAACGGUCCUAAGGUAG
rnacentral:rRNA from 1 species